AACGAACGCUGGCGGCAGGCUUAACACAUGCAAGUCGAACGCCCCGCAAGGGGAGUGGCAGACGGGUGAGUAACGCGUGGGAAUCUACCCAGUUCUACGGAACAACAGUUGGAAACGACUGCUAAUACCGUAUACGCCCUAAGGGGGAAAGAUUUAUCGGAAUUGGAUGAGCCCGUGUUGGAUUAGCUAGUUGGUGGGGUAAUGGCCUACCAAGGCGACGAUCCAUAGCUGGUCUGAGAGGAUGAUCAGCCACACUGGGACUGAGACACGGCCCAGACUCCUACGGGAGGCAGCAGUGGGGAAUAUUGGACAAUGGGCGCAAGCCUGAUCCAGCCAUGCCGCGUGAGUGAUGAAGGCCUUAGGGUUGUAAAGCCCUUUCAGUAGGGAAGAUAAUGACGGUACCUACAGAAGAAGCCCCGGCUAACUUCGUGCCAGCCGCCGCAGUAAUAC
rnacentral:rRNA from 1 species